GGCAGGGAAGGGCCGAUGGAACUCCUCGCGCCAGGACGACGGCAGCCCCGACGUGCUGCUUAGCAUACCCUCCAACCAGUGCAGCAUCUUAAUGUUGUGAUUUCCCCCUCUGCAUCCUUUUCAUAACUCUAUUUUUAUAAAUCAUUUGUCCAUCCAUAGUUCAAAUUUUUACUACAAGUUUUCUGUCAAUCCUACCAAUGUACGUAACUCUUUACAAUAGCUUUUCAACUAAAUUAUAAACUUUCCCCAUUCUUUAUUAAAGAGGUCCUCUUCCUGGUUUCUAAUUCUGCCUGUAAGCUUUGCCAUCUGGACGUCGUUCAUCAGUUUUGUCUGCCCCUCUUCUUUGGUGGGAGUUGUAGACCCUUAGGAUCAUCUAGUCCAACCCCCUGCAAAACACAGUCAGUCGCAGCCAAAGCAGCCUGGCUCCAUCAGUGCCGGAUUUCUGUAUAAGCUAAGCAAAAUCCCUUAUUUUGGCUGCUGGUCCCUUAUUUUCGAGGCUGCUGGUCCCUUAUUUUCGAGGCUGCUGGUCCCUUAUUUUCAAAUCUGUAAGUUGACAGCUAUG